rnacentral:rRNA from 1 species
AACGAACGCUGGCGGCAUGCCUAACACAUGCAAGUCGAACGAAGGCUUCGGCCUUAGUGGCGCACGGGUGCGUAACGCGUGGGAACCUGCCCCUCGGUUCGGAAUAACAGUUAGAAAUGACUGCUAAUACCGGAUGAUGACUUCGGUCCAAAGAUUUAUCGCCGAGGGAUGGGCCCGCGUAGGAUUAGCUAGUUGGUGGGGUAAAGGCCUACCAAGGCGACGAUCCUUAGCUGGUCUGAGAGGAUGAUCAGCCACACUGGGACUGAGACACGGCCCAGACUCCUACGGGAGGCAGCAGUGGGGAAUACUGGACAAUGGGCGAAAGCCUGAUCCAGCAAUGCCGCGUGAGUGAUGAAGGCCUUAGGGUUGUAAAGCUCUUUUACCAGGGAUGAUAAUGACAGUACCUGGAGAAUAAGCUCCGGCUAACUCCGUG